rnacentral:rRNA from 1 species
GUAUCCUGGCAUACCCCAAAGGCACUAAGUCUCAUCUGAUCUUUAAAACUAAGCAGGGUCAGCCCUAGUUAGUACUUGGAUGGGAGACUGCCAACAAAUACCAGCUGCCAUAUACU